AGGGCCGCGGUAAUUUGACCGUGCGAAGGUAGCAUAAUCAGUAGUCUUUUAAUUGGAGGCUUGUAUGAAUGGUUGAAUGAGGGAUAUUCUGUCUUUUUUUUAUAAGUGGAAUUUAACUUCUAGGUGAGAAGGCCUAGAUUUUUUGGUGGGACGAUAAGACCCUAUAAAACUUUAUGUGGUUCCGUUAGGGUUGAGAAUUAAGUUUAAAUUGGCUUUAAUUGGUUCAUAUUUCGUUGGGGAAACGUUGAUAUAAGUUUUAAUUGUCUUUAAGAUUUUAAUAAUUAUAAUUAGAUUUUGAUCCUUUAAUAGAGAUUAGAAGAUUAAGUUACUUUAGGGAUAACAGCGUAAUUUUCUUUGAGAGUUCUUAUCGACAAGAGUAGUUGCGACCUCGAUGUUGAAUUAAAGUUUCAGGUUGGUGUAGCCGCUUUCCUAGUAGGUCUGUUCGACCUUUAAAAUUUU
rnacentral:rRNA from 1 species